GCAUUUGUAGUCCAACGGUUAGGAUAAUUGUCUUCCAAGCAAUUGACCCGGGUUCGACUCCCCGCAAAUGCA
rfam:Ipomoea nil DNA, scaffold: scaffold1734, cultivar: Tokyo-kokei standard.